GACGAACGCUGGCGGCGUGCUUAACACAUGCAAGUCGAACGAUGAAGAAGAGAAACGCGAACUUCGGUUCAAAUUUCACUUCGGAUUAGUGGCAGACGGGUGAGUAACGCGUGAGCAACCUACCUCUUACAAAGGGAUAGCCUCGGGAAACCGUGAUUAAUACCAUAUGACACAUUCAUAAGGCAUCUUAAGAAUGUUAAAGCUACGGCGGUAAGAGAUGGGCUCGCGUCCCAUUAGCUAGUUGGUGAGGUAACGGGCCACCAAGGCGACGAUGGGUAACCGGCCUGAGAGGGGGAACGGUCACAUUGGAACUGAGACACGGUCCAAACUCCUACGGGAGACAGCAGUAGAGAAUAUUACACAAUGGAGGGAAAUCUAAUACAGCGACGCCGCGUGAGCGAUGAAUGAAUUCGUAUCGUAAAGCUCUGUUCUAUGAGAAGAAAAGGACUGUACCAUAGGAGAAAGCCCCGGCUAAAUACGUG
rnacentral:rRNA from 1 species